AGUAAAAUAGUGAGGGCGGUGUGUCUGAUAUUUAACAAAGGUACCAAGUGAAUACCAGAUUACAAGAUUGUAUUUUACAUAUAUAACAAUUGUCCAAUUUAUCAAAACACAAAAGACUUUGUGAGAAACCCGAAUAAAAAAAAGACUAAAGAAUGAUCCUAUAAUGAUGUAAGAUGGAAUUUUUCUCAUCAUUCUUACAUCAGUCAAAGGCAUGUUCAUGCCCAUAUAGAGAGUCGAGUGAGAUGUGUG
rnacentral:misc_RNA from 1 species